rnacentral:misc_RNA from 1 species
GAUGAAGAACGUAGCGAAAUGCGAUACGUAAUGUGAAUUGCAGAAUUCAGUGAAUCAUCGAGUCUUUGAACGCACAUUGCGCCCCCUGGUAUUCCGGGGGGCAUGCCUGUCCGAGCGUCAUUGCUGCCCUCAAGCACGGCUUGUGUGUUGGGCCUCCGUCCUCCUCCCGGGGGACGGGCCCGAAAGGCAGCGGCGGCACCGCGUCCGGUCCUCGAGCGUAUGGGGCUUCGUCACCCGCUCUUGUAGGCCCGGCCGGCGCUUGCCGACACAUCAAUCUUUUUUCCAGGUUGACCUCGGAUCAGGUAGGGAUACCCGCUGAACUUAAGCAUAUCAAUAAGCGGAGG